AUUAAGUUUAAUUUAAUAUAGGAUCUGCUCAAUGAUUUAUUAAAUAGCUGCAGUAUUUUGACUGUGCAAAGGUAGCAUAAUAAUUAGUCUUUUAAUUGAGGACUUGUAUGAAAGAUUUGAUGAGAAAUAAACUUUAUUAUUUAUAUAGUUAAAAUUUUAUUUUUAAGUAAAAAAGCUUAAAUUUUUUAAAGGGACGAUAAGACCCUAUAAAACUUUAUAAAUAUUAUUUUUAGUUUUAUUGGAUUUUAUAUUUAUAUUAUUAUUAAUAUUUAUUUUAUUGGGGUGAUAAAAAAAAUUAAUUAACUUUUUUUAAAAAUUUACAUUAUUUAAUGAAUAAUUGAAUUAAAAUUUUUAAUUGAAGGAAAAAGUUACUUUAGGGAUAACAGCGUAAUUAAUUUUUUAAGUUCAAAUUUGAAAAUUAGUUUGCGACCUCGAUGUUGAAUUAAGAUUAAUCUUAGGUGCAAAAUUUUAAGUAUUAGGUCUGUUCGACCUUUAAAUUCUUACGUGA
rnacentral:rRNA from 1 species